GCAUACCCGUGGCUCAUAACACAGUCACAGUUCAGAAGGCCGGCACGCGGUGUCAACCAGGCCACCAUUCCUCUCCGCAUUAAAGCACUCGGUGGGGG
rnacentral:miRNA from 1 species